rnacentral:rRNA from 1 species
CCAUGAGUGAAUACAUAGCUCAUGAGGGAGGUACCCGGAGAACUGAAACAUCUAAGUAUCCGGAGGAAAAGAAAAUAAGAAUGAUUCCGUAAGUAGCGGCGAGCGAACGCGGAGGAGCCCAAACCAGAUCUUGAUCUGGGGUUGUAGGACCACGAGAUGGCAAGAGCAAGGCUAAGAGAACGGCAUUGAAAGGCCGACCGGAGAGGGUGCAAGUCCCGUAACUGAAAGCGAUGUGAAGCCUAGUGGUAUCCUGAGUACGGCGAGACACGAGAAAUCUUGUCGGAAGCAGGCGGGACCAUCCGUCAAGGCUAAAUAUACCCAAGUGACCGAUAGUGAACCAGUACCGUGAGGGAAAGGUGAAAAGAACCGCGGGAGCGGAGUGAAAUAGAACCUGAAACCGUAUGCUUACAAGAAGUCAGAGCCCGUUAAAGGGUGAUGGCGUGCCUUUUGUAGAAUGAACCGGCGAGUUACGUUAUCGUGCGAGGUUAAGUAGAAGAUACGGAGCCGAAGCGAAAGCGAGUCUUAAUAGGGCGACAGUACGAUGAUGUAGACCCGAAACCGUGUGAUCUAGCCAUGACCAGGUUGAAGUUCAGGUGAAACUGAAUGGAGGACCGAACCGACCCCCGUUGAAAAGUUGGCGGAUGAGUUGUGGCUAGGGGAGAAAUUCCAAUCGAACACGGAUAUAGCUGGUUCUCCCCGAAAUAGCUUUAGGGCUAGCGUCGAGGUAGAGUCGCAUGGAGGUAGAGCACUGAAUGUACGAUGGCCCCAUCCCGGGGUACUGAGUAUAAUCAAACUCCGAAUGCCAUGCAGACGUACUCGGCAGUCAGACUGUGGGUGAUAAGGUCCAUGGUCAAAAGGGAAACAGCCCAGACCGCCAGUUAAGGUCCCAAAAUGUAUGCUAAGUGGAAAAGGAUGUGGGGAUGCACAGACAACUAGGAGGUUGGCUCAGAAGCAGCCAUCCUUCAAAGAGUGCGUAACAGCUCACUAGUCGAGUGACCCUGCGCCGAAAAUGUACCGGGGCUAAGCAUACUACCGAAGCUGCGGAUU